UACGUAGGGUGCGAGCGUUGUCCGGAAUCAUUGGGCGUAAAGAGCGUGUAGGCGGCCAAGCAGGUCCGCUGUGAAAACUCGAGGCUUAACCUCGAGCUGUCGGCGGAAACCAUCUGGCUAGAGUCCGGAAGAGGAGAAUGGAAUUCCUGGUGUAGCGGGUGAAAUGCGCAGAUAUCAGGAAGAACACCCGUGGCGAAGGCGGCUCUCUGGUACGUGACUGACGCUGAGACGCGAAAGCGUGGGGAGCGAACAGG
rnacentral:rRNA from 1 species